GAGGAUGUAGCUCAAUGGUAGAGUAUGUGCUUGGCAUGUGAAACAACUGGGUUCCAUCCCCAGCACUGCA
rnacentral:tRNA from 1 species